rnacentral:misc_RNA from 1 species
AACCAUUCUCACCUGCGGCUAGACCUGCGGAGGGAUCAUUACCGAGUUUACAACUCCCAAACCCCUGUGAACAUACCACUCGUUGCCUCGGCGGAUCACCGCGCCCCGUGAAACGGGCCGGCCCGCCAGAGGACCUAAACUCAAAUGUUUUAUUGUAUCUUCUGAGUAAAAACACAAAUAAAUCAAAACUUUUAACAAUGGAUCU